rnacentral:rRNA from 1 species
CCGGCAGCUCUAGUGGUAGCAAUUUUUAUUGGGCCUAAAGCGUCCGUAGCCGGUUUAAUAAGUCUCUGGUGAAAUCCUGUAGCUUAACUGUGGGAAUUGCUGGAGAUACUAUUAGACUUGAGACCGGGAGAGGUUAGAGGUACUCCCAGGGUAGAGGUGAAAUUCUGUAAUCCUGGGAGGACCGCCUGUUGCGAAGGCGUCUAACUGGAACGGUUCUGACGGUGAGGGACGAAAGUUAGGGGCGCGAACCGGAUUAGAUACCCGGGUAGUCCUAACUGUAAACGAUGCGGACUUGGUGUUGGGGUGGCUUUGAGCUGCUCCAGUGCCGAAGGGAAGCUGUUAAGUCCGCCGCCUGGGAAGUACGGUCGCAAGACUGAAACUUAA